GAAAGAAUUGGCAGACAAAAUACAUGCUGGUGACUCAGUGUGAGGUGUUCUCUCCUCCUUGGGGGGACGAAGCGGGAGCAGAGAACACUGAAGCCAGAGGCACUGACUUAAAAUGGAGCAUCUGAUCCUUAAAGAUCCCCUGGUAUUUGUUGUCAGAGAUGUCAGCUGGAUUUCAGUUCAGAUAAUUACAUUUUGCUUGUCUAAUGCCCCUAGCAAUUUCCAGUGGGAUCUUCAUUUCCCAUCAGAAAUUGCUCUGCAUGUGAUGCUGUGCUUCAUUAAACAACUGCCGUGUGCUAGCUCACAGGUGGUGUUUGUUUCAGUGGUCACUGAAGUAAUCUCUCCGCAGGCCCAUGCCAGCCAUACUGCCCAGACUUGAAUUCUCUCCAGAGAAGUUUCUCAUCCAAGAUCCCCAGUAAAGAAAGUAAGCUACAUAAAAAGGAGUUUGCUUGGUGAGCAAUGGUGGAGUGAGGCUCAUGAUUUGAGUAUUUCAAGAUGUCAACUAAGGGCACCUCAACCAAAUGCACCUCAUGCCCACUGACUCAACAGGUCGAGACCUUAAGGAAAUGCGGCAUUCCAUUGCAUAAUGCUUCAAUAUGAGUUAACAAGACAAAUGAGCAGAGAAACUAUGACUCUCCAUGCUGCAGAAGGAAAAUGCUCCUAGCGAACAUCUGCUUUGGGACCAAGGACAGAACCCAGAGGGCUAACAAAGAAGCACCAUGGAGUUGGUACACAGACCUCUGAGAACGGAUCCUAAAUGGCUAUCGCUGCUACCUGGCAUCUCACCAGAGAACUGGUUCUGGAAGCUCUCAAGGAAGGUUGAAGCUUUUAACUGCUACUGACCAAUACAGGAAAAACAGAAAUGUAUGGAGUCUCACUAUGUCACCCAGGCUGGAGUGCAGUGGCGUGAUCUCGGCUCACUGAAACCUCCACCGCCCAGGUUCAAGCAAUCCUCCUGUCUCAGCCUCCUGAGUAGCUGCAACUACAGGCACCUGCCACCAUGCCUGGCUAAUUUUUGUAUUUUUAGUAGAGACAGGGUUUCUCCAUGUUGGCCAGGCUGGUCUCAAACUCCUGACCUCAGGUGAUCCACCCACCUCGGCCUCCUAAAGUGCUGGGAUUUCAGGCGUGAGCCACUGCCUUCAGCUGGAAAUAGCAUUUACUUUAGAGUGUGAUUGUAAAGAUUAGUGUGAUAAUAUGUACAGAACAUCUUAUAUUCAUGGAGGGCACACAUUUGUUCAAUGAAUUGUACUGAUGAGAUCACAAAUCACAUUUCCUCACCCUUCAACCACUGCGCAUCCAAUAUCAUU
rnacentral:lncRNA from 1 species